GACGAACGCUGGCGGCGUGCUUAACACAUGCAAGUCGAACGGAAAGGCCCUGCUUUUGUGGGGUGCUCGAGUGGCGAACGGGUGAGUAACACGUGAGUAACCUGCCCUUGACUUUGGGAUAACUUCAGGAAACUGGGGCUAAUACCGGAUAGGAGCUCCUGCUGCAUGGUGGGGGUUGGAAAGUUUCGGCGGUUGGGGAUGGACUCGCGGCUUAUCAGCUUGUUGGUGGGGUAGUGGCUUACCAAGGCUUUGACGGGUAGCCGGCCUGAGAGGGUGACCGGCCACAUUGGGACUGAGAUACGGCCCAGACUCCUACGGGAGGCAGCAGUGGGGAAUAUUGCGCAAUGGGCGGAAGCCUGAUGCGACAGCGCCGCGUGCGGGAUAACGGCCUUCGGGUUGUAAACCGCUUUCGCCUGUGACGAAGCGUGAGUGACGGUAAUGGGUAAAGAAGCACCGGCUAACUACGUG
rnacentral:rRNA from 1 species